UCUCAAAUCAAAUUCUUGGAAAGGAGAAAUCAAAGGGAAAUUAAUAAGGGUUUAAUUAUUUGGUGGAUUUCAAGGAAUCACCAUCAUCUUCUUCAUCUUUUCUUCAAGAAUAUCAAAUUUUGGUAACCAACAGUAAGUCUUGGAUCAUCUUGGCAUUAUAAGGCCAUUCAUUCGACUUUGGAUGUAUAAUUAGCGUCAGACAUUGGAGGACUAUUAUGUUCUUAGUUCUAAUUGUACUAGACGGUCCAAAUAUUUAUCUUGUAUUAAGUGGGCCCAAUUCCAUAUAUGGAUGACUUGUAUCCGUAUUCUGGGGUCCACAUUUGAACGAUUGUACUUGUAUUAGACUUGUAUUUGGUAUUAAAUGGAUGUAAUUUCUAUUA